rnacentral:rRNA from 1 species
UACAUGGGGUGCAAACGUUGCUCGGAAUUAUUGGGCGUAAAGCGCGCGUAGGCGGUUACUUAAGUCGGAUGUGAAAGCCCUCGGCUUAACUGAGGAAGUGCACCCGAAACUGAGUAGCUAGAGUACGAAAGAGGGUCGCGGAGUUCCCGGUGUAGAGGUGAAAUGCGCAGAUAUCGGGAAGAACACCGGUGGCGAAGGCGGCUCUCUGGGCCUGUCCUGACGCUCAGGCGCGAAAGCUAGGGGAGCGAACAGG